GGUAAGGUGAUAUGAACCGUUAUAACCGGCGAUACCCGAAUGGGGAAACCCAGUGUGAUUCGUCACACUAUCAUUAACUGAAUCCAUAGGUUAAUGAGGCGAACCGGGGGAACUGAAACAUCUAAGUACCCCGAGGAAAAGAAAUCAACCGAGAUUCCCCCAGUAGCGGCGAGCGAACGGGGAGGAGCCCAGAGCCUGAAUCAGCAUGUGUGUUAGUGGAAGCGUCUGGAAAGGCGCGCGAUACAGGGUGACAGCCCCGUACACAAAAGCGCAUGUGCUGUGAGCUCGAUGAGUAGGGCGGGACACGUGGUAUCCUGUCUGAAUAUGGGGGGACCAUCCUCCAAGGCUAAAUACUCCUGACUGACCGAUAGUGAACCAGUACCGUGAGGGAAAGGCGAAAAGAACCCCGGCGAGGGGAGUGAAAAAGAACCUGAAACCGUGUACGUACAAGCAGUGGGAGCCCCACCACCAAAGCAUUUGCUGUACCGCGUUGACGGAGCGAAGCGACGUCAAACCGAUAAAACAGCAGUGUAAAGUGAGCCGCAGGGCGCUUUGCGCGACAGCGCAAAGGCAGGCGGUUUCGCGUAGCGAAAGCGAAUGCUUUGGGGUGGGGUGACUGCGUACCUUUUGUAUAAUGGGUCAGCGACUUAUAUUCUGUAGCAAGGUUAACCGAAUAGGGGAGCCGGAGGGAAACCGAGUCUUAAUUGGGCGUUAAGUUGCAGGGUAUAGACCCGAAACCCGGUGAUCUAGCCAUGGGCAGGUUGAAGGUUGGGUAACACUAACUGGAGGACCGAACCGACUAAUGUUGAAAAAUUAGCGGAUGACCUGUGGCUGGGGGUGAAAGGCCAAUCAAACCGGGAGAUAGCUGGUUCUCCCCGAAAGCUAUUUAGGUAGCGCCUCGUGAAUUCAUCUCCGGGGGUAGAGCACUGUUUCGGCUAGGGGGCCAUCCCGGCUUACCAACCCGAUGCAAACUGCGAAUACCGGAGAAUGUUAUCACGGGAGACACACGGCGGGUGCUAACGUCCGUCGUGAAGAGGGAAACAACCCAGACCGCCAGCUAAGGUCCCAAAGUCAUGGUUAAGUGGGAAACGAUGUGGGAAGGCCCAGACAGCCAGGAUGUUGGCUUAGAAGCAGCCAUCAUUUAAAGAAAGCGUAAUAGCUCACUGGUCGAGUCGGCCUGCGCGGAAGAUGUAACGGGGCUAAACCAUGCACCGAAGCUGCGGCAGCGACACUGUGUGUUGUUGGGUAGGGGAGCGUUCUGUAAGCCUGUGAAGGUGUGUCGUGAGGCAUGCUGGAGGUAUCAGAAGUGCGAAUGCUGACAUAAGUAACGAUAAAGCGGGUGAAAAGCCCGCUCGCCGGAAGACCAAGGGUUCCUGUCCAACGUUAAUCGGGGCAGGGUGAGUCGACCCCUAAGGCGAGGCCGAAAGGCGUAGUCGAUGGGAAACGGGUUAAUAUUCCCGUACUUGGUGUUACUGCGAAGGGGGGACGGAGAAGGCUAUGUUGGCCGGGCGACGGUUGUCCCGGUUUAAGCGUGUAGGUGUGUGUUCCAGGUAAAUCCGGUUCACUUUAACACUGAGGCGUGACGACGAGGCACUACGGUGCUGAAGCAACAAAUGCCCUGCUUCCAGGAAAAGCCUCUAAGCAUCAGGUAACAUCAAAUCGUACCCCAAACCGACACAGGUGGUCAGGUAGAGAAUACCAAGGCGCUUGAGAGAACUCGGGUGAAGGAACUAGGCAAAAUGGUGCCGUAACUUCGGGAGAAGGCACGCUGACACGUAGGUGAAGUGAUUUACUCAUGGAGCUGAAGUCAGUCGAAGAUACCAGCUGGCUGCAACUGUUUAUUAAAAACACAGCACUGUGCAAACACGAAAGUGGACGUAUACGGUGUGACGCCUGCCCGGUGCCGGAAGGUUAAUUGAUGGGGUCAGCGCAAGCGAAGCUCCUGAUCGAAGCCCCGGUAAACGGCGGCCGUAACUAUAACGGUCCUAAGGUAGCGAAAUUCCUUGUCGGGUAAGUUCCGACCUGCACGAAUGGCGUAAUGAUGGCCAGGCUGUCUCCACCCGAGACUCAGUGAAAUUGAACUCGCUGUGAAGAUGCAGUGUACCCGCGGCAAGACGGAAAGACCCCGUGAACCUUUACUAUAGCUUGACACUGAACAUUGAGCCUUGAUGUGUAGGAUAGGUGGGAGGCUUUGAAGUGUGGACGCCAGUCUGCAUGGAGCCGACCUUGAAAUACCACCCUUUAAUGUUUGAUGUUCUAACGUGGACCCGUUACCCGGGUUGCGGACAGUGUCUGGUGGGUAGUUUGACUGGGGCGGUCUCCUCCUAAAGAGUAACGGAGGAGCACGAAGGUUGGCUAAUCCUGGUCGGACAUCAGGAGGUUAGUGCAAUGGCAUAAGCCAGCUUGACUGCGAGCGUGACGGCGCGAGCAGGUGCGAAAGCAGGUCAUAGUGAUCCGGUGGUUCUGAAUGGAAGGGCCAUCGCUCAACGGAUAAAAGGUACUCCGGGGAUAACAGGCUGAUACCGCCCAAGAGUUCAUAUCGACGGCGGUGUUUGGCACCUCGAUGUCGGCUCAUCACAUCCUGGGGCUGAAGUAGGUCCCAAGGGUAUGGCUGUUCGCCAUUUAAAGUGGUACGCGAGCUGGGUUUAGAACGUCGUGAGACAGUUCGGUCCCUAUCUGCCGUGGGCGCUGGAGAACUGAGGGGGGCUGCUCCUAGUACGAGAGGACCGGAGUGGACGCAUCACUGGUGUUCGGGUUGUCAUGCCAAUGGCACUGCCCGGUAGCUAAAUGCGGAAGAGAUAAGUGCUGAAAGCAUCUAAGCACGAAACUUGCCCCGAG
rnacentral:rRNA from 1 species